CUUGGCUGGAGUCAGGACUAACAAGUCGUCUUCUCGCUUUCUCUCUCCUUUCGCCGGUCCACGAAGCGAUCCAUCAUUUAUUUCCAGAUCACCUGUACCAGCAUGCUUUUGCUCGGGGUUGCAUUAGCACAAUCACCAGUAAUUACAAGCGUGUGUACACUGGGAGAAUGAAGAUGGGGAAGGUGGGAGGUAGGACGUGAUUCCCCUUCGGAGCAAUCAGGACUGGGAAAGGUUUCAUUCCAUGCAAACGAUGAUGACAGAAGGAAAAAAACGAAGAAGUGGAAACGGGCAAGUACAUCACGCUGGCUGGUGGGAGAGGGGCAGAAGGGUGCUUUCACCCUUAAACUACUGUGAGAAUUGGUGAGCACGAUCCGUGGGACAUGCUUUCAGAGGUGCAGGGGACACAGAGCCCUUCCUUGUAUUAAGGCAGACAACAUUAGAACUUGUGUCUCCUGAAGUUCAGUCUGAAUUGUCACCACAAGACCACCGUCUUGACACUAACCUGUUCCAUUUUGCUCUACCCUAAAGGACCAUCCAGAAGUGAAAGUCACAUAAGGAUGUUUGGCACCAUUUACUAACUACACCGUUAAAAUAGCGGUUUAAGUAACUUUGUGCUCUCUGAAUUUGCUUUCACAUGCAAUCCCAGAUAUUCUCAAUAACUUGUAAAUCCUCGUGUUUUGGAGCCUCCCUUUGUCUUGCUCUGUUUGCUAGGCAGUACACACUCCAGCAGCCAAAGUUGUACGGCAAGUGUGGUCUGAAUGGCAGAACAGAAGGUUCUCUGCAGAGGACACCCAGCUGUGAACAUUUCAAAAGUUUUUUUCAUCAGAACCUCUGUGUGUUGAUUUCUUUCUCUUUUCCUUGAGUAUACGUAGAGCAGAAAUAUGCAACUGGUUUUCAGUGACACACUGUUCAGGCUGUGAUAUAUGAAAUUUUAAAAGAGUUAACAGCAGUUCACUUGUAAGAGCAAGCCAUGAGAGCUCUUACACAUGUUAGUACAGAGGGUCAGCAUAAGACUUCAUGGCAACGGGAGAGAGAAAAAUGUGGUUCUUUAUAGGACCCAGCUACAGUCACCGUGACUGAAAUACCUGUCCUAUGUGGAGGACAUGUAUCAAUGUCCUCAAUGAGGACAGUAACGAUGCACCAUAGCAUGGAACCAAAAGCACAUGAGCAAAGUUGCAAAGGAUACAAAAUUUCUCUUUCAGAGGAAAUAUCAGGAUUUCAAGAUUUAUUUUACUUCUGAAGCAGAAAAAAAUCAAAUCACUUUAAGUGACAUUUUCAAAACAAUUUCAUUUUAAGCCCCAGUCUUUAAUCUCAAUUUAAAAUAUAACACAAUCUGAAAGAGUAAUUUCAAAAUGAAAAAUGGAGUCAGUGUUCUGAAAAGGUUAAUGCCGAGUAUUUUAACCUUACUGAAGGAGCUGUAAUUGUUUUUCAGAUUUUGUUGAAGUUGACACUUCCGUAGAAGAGCUUUGUUUUCAAUCAAACAGCAGUUUUCCAUUGAAAAAACAUUCGUUUGGAAAAGUUCCACUCAAGCUAGCUGAAGCAUGGGAGGUUUGUAGAUAAGGAGAAUAUAAUUAGCUACAAUAGAAAUUUUGUCAGAAGGCUGAGGCUAAGAGCUCUCACACACCGGAUAAAUACCACCGCGCUCCUGAAAAGAGGGCAAGCGACUAGGGCUGUUAUUUUGCUUUUCUUCGGCAAGGUUGCUGCUACUGUACUACAUCAGUGUCCUCCCUGCCUAAUCACAGUUGUUCAACACUGACACAGUGGGGAUGAGGAAAGACGACUGCUUAUCGAGGACCUGUUUUGGGGAGAGGAUUUGAUCACAUGCUCCGCUUUUGGUGCGUUGGCGGUUACACUGAGGUCCGUGGGACAGCUCUUGAGCAGGAGCUGGGAGACAGCAGUGGCACUGCUGAACUGCCCGUGUUCUGUUCUCUCGGACAUCUCCUUCCCAAGAUGGGAUCUCACAAGAUCACGUUGAGGAUGGUGGGAUUACAAACCAUCGAUUUCUGCAGUAACAGGCUUUCUUUUUCUGCUGACAAACAAAAGACGAAAUGAAAAACAUAUCUACUAGAAAUAUCACACAAAUGUAAAUGAAAAAACAUUUGCUCCCAGUUUUGAAGAUAUUAUUAUUCAGGAUUUUCAUCCUUUUUCCAGUAGGUGACAGGAAGGGUUGAUAUGCAGCUGUGCAGUGUAUUUUGCUAAGGCAGGAAUCACUGCGUUAAGGCAAACUUCUUCAUCUUGUUGAUUUUACAAGGGCACACACUCAUUCUUGGAAUGUGAGAAUGAUCUUCCUUCACAAUAAAGUAAUACAUGCCAAGAAGCACCAGAACGAAGCUGGGGUGGAAGGCAAAUAAUUUCCUCUGCUAAGAGAAGCAGCAUAGUGGAGACUAAUUGGCCCAAAUAUUACUGCUCAAUUUCUCACUCAAACUCAUUUAGCUAACAAGGGUCAAAGCCCGUUUUCAUAUUGAAAGGGUAGGAUGACUUUUUAUUAAGGCAAGUAUGGCUGUACUGGUUUUAUCAUUGUUUCUAUCAAAACAAAAUCACGCUGAAGAUUACUGUGUUCCAAUUAGCAUCACACUUUGCAAGGAAAGCUUCCAACCAUUGUAAGAAAAUUGUGUUUCUGUAUUAAACUAGCUGUCUGUGGA